rnacentral:rRNA from 1 species
UACAGAGGGUGCGAGCGUUAAUCGGAAUUACUGGGCGUAAAGAGCUCGUAGGCGGUGUGUCACGUCGGCCGUGAAAACCUGCAGCUUAACUGUGGGCGUGCGGUCGAUACGGGCAUCACUGGAGUUCGGCAGGGGAGACUGGAAUUCCUGGUGUAGCGGUGAAAUGCGCAGAUAUCAGGAGGAACACCGGUGGCGAAGGCGGGUCUCUGGGUCGAUACUGACGCUGAGGAGCGAAAGCGUGGGGAGCAAACAGG